rnacentral:rRNA from 1 species
UACAGGGGGUGCAAACGUUGCUCGGAAUCAUUGGGCGUAAAGCGCACGUAGGCGGUUCGUUAUGUCGGAUGUGAAAGCCCUUGGCUUAACCGAGGAAGUGCAUCCGAAACUGGCGAGCUAGAGUACUAAAGAGGAUCGCGGAAUUCCCGGUGUAGAGGUGAAAUUCGUAGAUAUCGGGAGGAACACCGGUGGCGAAGGCGGCGAUCUGGGUAGAUACUGACGCUGAUGCGCGAAAGCGUGGGGAGCAAACAGG